rnacentral:rRNA from 1 species
AUUGAACGCUGGCGGCAGGCCUAACACAUGCAAGUCGAGCGAGCGGCGGACGGGUGAGUGAUGUAUGGGGACUGCCCGGUAGAGGGGGAUAACUACUGGAAACGGUGGCUAAUACCGCAUACUUUCGGAUAACCCAUCUGGGAUUAGCUAGUAGGUAAGGUAAUGGCUUACCUAGGCGACGAUCCCUAGCUGGUCUGAGAGGAUGAUCAGCCACACUGGGAAGGAGACACGGCCCAGACUCCUACGGAGGCAGCAGUGGGGAAUAUUGCACAAUGGGCGAAAGCCUGAUGAGGCCAUGCCGCGUGUAUGAAGAAGGCCCUAGGGUUGUAAAGUACUUUCAGUCGGGAGGCGUUACCGACAGAAGAAGCACCGGCUAACUCCGUGCCAGCAGCCGCGGUAAUAC